rnacentral:rRNA from 1 species
UACGGAGGGUGCAAGCGUUAUCCGGAUUCACUGGGUUUAAAGGGUGCGUAGGUGGGCAAGUAAGUCAGUGGUGAAAUCUCCGGGCUUAACCCGGAGACUGCCAUUGAUACUAUUUGUCUUGAAUACUGUGGAGGUCAGCGGAAUAUGUCAUGUAGCGGUGAAAUGCUUAGAUAUGACAUAGAACACCAAUUGCGAAGGCAGCUGGCUACACAAAUAUUGACACUGAGGCACGAAAGCGUGGGGAUCAAACAGG